rnacentral:lncRNA from 1 species
GGCUAGUGUACUAGAUCGUGCAAGUAAUAUAAUCGGUAAUACCCAAUAUCGUUCUUCCCAAGAGACUCGAAAGGCUCGUUCGUGUGAAUCAAAAUCGUAAGACUUGUAGAAAAAGAUUAAUUGUUAUGGAAGCAAAGACAGAAAAUAAACAUGCAAUGUAUUUGAUUCAAUUGACGAAAAAGACUAUGGAUGAAUGGAGUUGUUGGGGGUUUACAAUUUAAUCUUAUCCGCUCUACU